rnacentral:rRNA from 1 species
UACAGAGGGGGCAAGCGUUAUUCGGAAUUAUUGGGCGUAAAGGGCGCGUAGGCGGCUUGGCAAGUGGAAGGUGAAAUCCCUCGGCUUAACCGAGGAACUGCCCUCCAAACUGCUUCGCUUGAGACCGGGAGAGGUGAGUGGAAUUCCCAGAGUAGCGGUGAAAUGCGUAGAUAUUGGGAGGAACACCAGUGGCGAAGGCGGCUCACUGGACCGGUACUGACGCUGAUGCGCGAAAGCGUGGGGAGCAAACGGG